AGUGAACGCUGGCGGUAGGCCUAACACAUGCAAGUCGAACGGCAGCACAGUAAGAGCUUGCUCUUACGGGUGGCGAGUGGCGGACGGGUGAGGAAUACAUCGGAAUCUACUUUUUCGUGGGGGAUAACGUAGGGAAACUUACGCUAAUACCGCAUACGACCUACGGGUGAAAGCAGGGGAUCUUCGGACCUUGCGCGAUUGAAUGAGCCGAUGUCGGAUUAGCUAGUUGGCGGGGUAAAGGCCCACCAAGGCGACGAUCCGUAGCUGGUCUGAGAGGAUGAUCAGCCACACUGGAACGGAGACACGGUCCAGACUCCUACGGGAGGCAGCAGUGGGGAAUAUUGGACAAUGGGCGCAAGCCUGAUCCAGCCAUACUGCGUGGGUGAAGAAGGCCUUCGGGUUGUAAAGCCCGUUUGUUGGGAAAGAAAAGCAGCAGGUUAAUACCCCGCUGUUCUGACGGUACCCAAAGAAUAAGCACCGGCUAACUUCGUG
rnacentral:rRNA from 1 species